rnacentral:rRNA from 1 species
AGUGAACGCUGGCGGCAGGCCUAACACAUGCAAGUCGAACGGCAGCACAGCAGUAGCAAUACUGUGGGUGGCGAGUGGCGGACGGGUGAGGAAUACAUCGGAAUCUGCCUAGUCGUGGGGGAUAACGUAGGGAAACUUACGCUAAUACCGCAUACGACCUACGGGUGAAAGCGGGGAUCGCAAGACCUCGCGCGAUUAGAUGAGCCGAUGUCCGAUUAGCUAGUUGGCGGGGUAAUGGCCCACCAAGGCGACGAUCGGUAGCUGGUCUGAGAGGAUGAUCAGCCACACUGGAACUGAGACACGGUCCAGACUCCUACGGGAGGCAGCAGUGGGGAAUAUUGGACAAUGGGCGCAAGCCUGAUCCAGCCAUGCCGCGUGGGUGAAGAAGGCC